UACGAGAGCCCCAAGUGUUAUCCGGAAUUAUUGGGCGUAAAGGGUGCGUAGGUGGUUUCGUUAGUCUUUCGUUAAAUCUCCGGGCUUAACCUGGAAACCGCGAAAGAAACGGCGAGACUAGAGGUUGUGCAGGGUGUAUGGAACUCAUGGAGUAGGGGUGAAAUCCGUUGAUAUCAUGGGGAACACCAAAAGCGAAGGCAGUACACUGGCACAAAUCUGACACUGAGGCACGAAACCUAGGGUAGCGAAUGGG
rnacentral:rRNA from 1 species